rnacentral:rRNA from 1 species
AGCGAACGCUGGCGGCAGGCCUAACACAUGCAAGUCGAACGAUCCUUCGGGAUAGUGGCGGACGGGUGAGUAACACGUGGGAACGUGCCUUUUGGUUCGGAACAACUCAGGGAAACUUGAGCUAAUACCGGAUGUGCCCUUCGGGGGAAAGAUUUAUCGCCAUUAGAGCGGCCCGCGUCUGAUUAGCUAGUUGGUGGGGUAAAGGCCUACCAAGGCGACGAUCAGUAGCUGGUCUGAGAGGAUGAUCAGCCACAUUGGGACUGAGACACGGCCCAAACUCCUACGGGAGGCAGCAGUGGGGAAUCUUGCGCAAUGGGCGAAAGCCUGACGCAGCCAUGCCGCGUGAAUGAUGAAGGUCUUAGGAUUGUAAAAUUCUUUCACCGGGGACGAUAAUGACGGUACCCGGAGAAGAAGCCCCGGCUAACUCCGUGCCAGCCGCCGCGGUAA